rnacentral:rRNA from 1 species
GUCGAGCGGUAGCACAGAGAGCUUGCUCUCGGGUGACGAGCGGCGGACGGGUGAGUAAUGUCUGGGAAACUGCCUGAUGGAGGGGGAUAACUACUGGAAACGGUAGCUAAUACCGCAUAAUGUCGCAAGACCAAAGUGGGGGACCUUCGGGCCUCAUGCCAUCAGAUGUGCCCAGAUGGGAUUAGCUAGUAGGUGGGGUAACGGCUCACCUAGGCGACGAUCCCUAGCUGGUCUGAGAGGAUGACCAGCCACACUGGAACUGAGACACGGUCCAGACUCCUACGGGAGGCAGCAGUGGGGAAUAUUGCACAAUGGGCGCAAGCCUGAUGCAGCCAUGCCGCGUGUAUGAAGAAGGCCUUCGGGUUGUAAAGUACUUUCAGCGGGGAGGAAGGCGAUAAGGUUAAUAACCUUGUCGAUUGACGUUACCCGCAGAAGAAGCACCGGCUAACUCCGUGCCAGCAGCCGCGGUAAUACGGAGGGUGCAAGCGUUAAUCGGAAUUACUGGGCGUAAAGCGCACGCAGGCGGUCUGUCAAGUCGGAUGUGAAAUCCCCGGGCUCAACCUGGGAACUGCAUUCGAAACUGGCAGGCUAGAGUCUUGUAGAGGGGGGUAGAAUUCCAGGUGUAGCGGUGAAAUGCGUAGAGAUCUGGAGGAAUACCGGUGGCGAAGGCGGCCCCCUGGACAAAGACUGACGCUCAGGUGCGAAAGCGUGGGGAGCAAACAGGAUUAGAUACCCUGGUAGUCCACGCCGUAAACGAUGUCGAUUUGGAGGUUGUGCCCUUGAGGCGUGGCUUCCGGAGCUAACGCGUUAAAUCGACCGCCUGGGGAGUACGGCCGCAAGGUUAAAACUCAAAUGAAUUGACGGGGGCCCGCACAAGCGGUGGAGCAUGUGGUUUAAUUCGAUGCAACGCGAAGAACCUUACCUGGUCUUGACAUCCACAGAACUUAGCAGAGAUGCUUUGGUGCCUUCGGGAACUGUGAGACAGGUGCUGCAUGGCUGUCGUCAGCUCGUGUUGUGAAAUGUUGGGUUAAGUCCCGCAACGAGCGCAACCCUUAUCCUUUGUUGCCAGCGGUCCGGCCGGGAACUCAAAGGAGACUGCCAGUGAUAAACUGGAGGAAGGUGGGGAUGACGUCAAGUCAUCAUGGCCCUUACGACCAGGGCUACACACGUGCUACAAUGGCAUAUACAAAGAGAAGCGACCUCGCGAGAGCAAGCGGACCUCAUAAAGUAUGUCGUAGUCCGGAUUGGAGUCUGCAACUCGACUCCAUGAAGUCGGAAUCGCUAGUAAUCGUAGAUCAGAAUGCUACGGUGAAUACGUUCCCGGGCCUUGUACACACCGCCCGUCACACCAUGGGAGUGGGUUGCAAAAGAAGUAGGUAGCUUAA